AUCUAUAAAAACGGUGAUGCCACCACGCCUUAAAUUUAAGAGGAAUUAAUUAAACUAAGAAUGCAGAAUUAAAUCAAAUAAAAUACGCUUGAAGUAAAUCAAUAAAAAGGGUAAUUCGGCUCAAAUAAAUCCACUCUAAUUCAACUCUGAUCCUCGACGCAAUAAUUAAUCAAUCCCUAUCAACCAACCAGUUAUAGGAUACCGUGAAACGCAACGGACGUACCC
rnacentral:lncRNA from 1 species